UUAAGAAUCUUGCGCAAUGGGAGCAAUCCUGACGCAGCGACGCCGCGUGAAUGAUGAAGGCCUUCGGGUUGUAAAGUUCGAUAAGCAGGGAAGAAUAAGUCCGGGGUAAUAUUCCGGAUGAUGACGGUACCUGCCUAAAGCCCCGGCUAACUACGUGCCAGCAGCCGCGGUCAUACGUAUGGGGCGAGCGUUGUUCGGAAAUAUUGGGCGUAAAGGGCGCCUAGGCGGGGGACUAAGUUAGUUGUGAAAGCUAUGGGCUCAACCCAUAAAUGGCAUCUAAGACUGG
rnacentral:rRNA from 1 species